rnacentral:rRNA from 1 species
GACGAACGCUGGCGGCGUGCUUAACACAUGCAAGUCGAACGGAAAGGCCCUGCUUUUGUGGGGUGCUCGAGUGGCGAACGGGUGAGUAACACGUGAGUAACCUGCCCUUGACUUUGGGAUAACUUCAGGAAACUGGGGCUAAUACCGGAUAGGAGCUCCUGCUGCAUGGUGGGGGUUGGAAAGUUUCGGCGGUUGGGGAUGGACUCGCGGCUUAUCAGCUUGUUGGUGGGGUAGUGGCUUACCAAGGCUUUGACGGGUAGCCGGCCUGAGAGGGUGACCGGCCACAUUGGGACUGAGAUACGGCCCAGACUCCUACGGGAGGCCGCAGUGGGGAAUAUUGCACUAUGGGCGGAAGGCUGAUGCAGCAACGCCGCGUGCGGGAUGACGGCAUUCGGGUUGUAAACCGCUUUCGCCUGUGACGAAGCGUGAGUGACGGUAAUGGGUAAAGAAGCACCGGCUAACUACGUG